rnacentral:rRNA from 1 species
CAGUCGCCGCGGUAAAACCAGCACCUCGAGUGGUCAGGAGGUUUAUUGGGCCUAAAGCAUCCGUAGCCGGUUGCAUAAGUUUUCGGUUAAAUCUAUGCGCUUAACGUAUAGGCCGCCGAAAAUACUGUGCAGCUAGGGAGUGGGAGAGGUACACGGUACUCGAUAGGAAGGGGUAAAAUCCUUUGAUCUAUUGAUGACCACCUGUGGCGAAGGCGGUGUACCAGAACACGUUCGACGGUGAGGGAUGAAAGCUGGGGGAGCAAACCGGAUUAGAUACCCCGGUAGUCCCUGUCUCUUAUAA